ACAUACAAACACACACAGACAUACAGAGUCUAUAUUAUAAUUAUAUAUUAUUAUAAAAUGCUGAGAAACUCACAUAUAAUAGAAAUAUUUCAUGAAUAUUUGUUCUGUUCUUCAAGUUACGAGACAGAAACCUCUAGAAGUCCCCCAAACCCUAAAUCAACAAGAUCAACAAGAAGUUUAUCUAGGGGCAUUAAAUUUCUAUUCUUGUCAGGGUUAAGCAUUGUUAUAUAAGUAAAACAAAUUACCCCAGUAAAAGGGAAAGCCAGAAAUUCCAUUUUCUUCUUAUCUUUUUCCCCAUCUCCUCCUUUGGGUACUUGUUUGUGGUCAUGCAGUACAGAACUUUAUCCUCACAAUCCAGUAUGCUUAAUUCUUCUCAUUCCUCCACUACUUUUGAAGUUUCAAUGAACCCUUGUACCUUUCAUCUGGUUUACUGCCAUGUCUCCAUUCUUUGUUCUCUAGUCAGUACAUCAAUGUGUAAUUACAGAGUUCCUAUUCAAUAAUUAAUUCAAUAACAUUUAAAUUCACUCAUUAAACAUUUAUUAAUUGCUCACUCUUGCAGAUUACUGUGUAGAACAAGCCUUGAUAAAACAUUCUUUCCCUCAGUUUACAUUCUAAUAGGAAGGUAAGGCAGAAACAUAGAUAGUAGUAUAGGGAUUCUUGACGUUUUUGAUUCUUUUGGCAGUUUAGCAAAGCCUUUCACAAAGGAUGUUUUUACAUGCCAAAAAUAAAAUACACAGGAUUGCAAAGAAAACUUGUUAUAUUGAAAUACAAUUAUCAAAACAUAGGUGUAUCAGAGAGGUGAGGGGGUAUUUGAGUAGGCCUUUAAGAAAGAGGUUUUGAUUCAGCAGGCAAACAGAAGAAGGAAUACAUUACAGAGAAAACAGUAGGAGCAAAGAAAGUAAUAGGUUGGAGUGUUUUGAUUGCAAGUAAUUCAUUUUAUAUUAAGGGUUGUACAGGACUUUGAAUUGCCAUGCUAAGAGAGUGAAACAUUCAGGAGCCCCCAGGGAUCCACUGAUUUUUUAUUUUUAGGUUAAAACCUUCAUUUUCUAUCUUAGAAUCAAUACUAAGUAUUGGUUCCAAGUGUCAUAAAAAAAGAAGAAAAGUAAAACUACUCAACUUGUGUUUUGCUUCUCCUUUCUCUACCAAAGAGAACAAUAUUCAAAUUAGAAGGACUUGAACAAAAAUUGUUAAAGAGGUUUAAAGCCAAAGUUGAGAAAGAAGAUAAAAAGAGUUUAUGUAAAAAUACAAAGAAAGAAAGAAACCACUGUAGGGGUUUUAGUGUACCAUAAGCCAAGGCUAGCUGAUGAGCAAGGUAAAUAAUUGUGUCCUACAGGCAGUUUGUCAUGGAAUUUAACCACAACAACUACUAAUAAGAGUACAGAGGUUUGAGCAAGGAUCUCACUUUUGCCAAGUAUGAAGAAUUUUGCAGUGACCUUCCAAAGAGAAAACUAAUCUGGUUGUCAUGCAGCUGUUGUCAUAAACAAAGGUUGACAUGGAACUGUUAUAAUAAACAGACAGCUCAGGAGAAAUGAGAUCAAAAAGCCUUUUUAUGGAACACAACACAAGAAAUACUGUACAGCAACUUUUCCUAAUAAGAAGAAGGUGUUAGCUAUGUUGUCAUAACUGUGGAAUAGGGCUAACAAAAUGAUCAUGUAAAGUAAGAUGCCCAGAAUAGGAACCCAAAGCCAGGAGCACCUUGAGAAAUGCAGCCAGAAGAAACAUAGCCAAAGGAAAGAUAGAAAGUACUUAGUAUUGAUAAUACAUCAAAUAAAAUUUUUGUUGGUGGAAUUUCUUAUAAUUUCUAUGAGACAGACCUUAGGGAAUACUUGGUGGUGGUUGGAGGGGUUCCUCAAUUUGUCAUACUAUAUAAUAUAGAAAAGCAGAUGUCUCCAGGUUUGGGGCUUAUUAAUCAAUUCCACUUGAUCACUUUCCUUUUAGUUCUUCCUGCAUGUCACUCUUGGGGCAGAUGAUGCUAGCUUUCCCUCUACUUCUGUCUUUGGUCAUUUGGAAAUGAGCAAAAGCCCAUUGCCCAGCCUGAUUUCCCUUAUGGCUAGCAUGUGGGUUAUAGACAAGACUUGAGUGACUUUGAAAAGGGUUUCUCAGAAGCCAACCAGCAACCUCCUGUCCUAUGAAUAACUUUAGUGCCCAUAUCAGUUUUGGCUAUGCCAUCUGUAGGUGGAAGUACUUAUGGACAAGGACAUAAUACUACUACUAAUAAUAGCUAGCAAUUAUUUAGCACUUUAAGGUUUUUUAAAUGUUUUACAUAUAUGACAGAGCCACAACAUGCAAACCUUGAAAUCAGGCAUUUCUUUGCAUGAUGAGAUACUGGAAACCAACUGAAAUUUCAAAUUCCAAAAAUAAGAACUUAACUAUACUACUACAACAUACUUGAUGAAGAACAUCUUAAACCAUUUUUAGUGUAGGUGAGGAAGAGGGAAAUGAUAUUGGAAGGCAGUGUUAGGUGUUUUGACUGCAAUUCUAAAAUAUGUUGUUUUCUUAACCCAUCAGAAUAAAACAUGGGUUCAAAUUACAGGGAUUUUUUUGUUUCUUUUUUUU